UGAUGAUUUCAUCUCAAUGAGAAAAUUUUCUUCGGUGUCUUUUACAGUUAAAUAUAAAUUUAAAAUGAUUGGAUUCAUGAAGAGAUUCGGAGGAAGACCUAGGGGAAUAUCAGUAGCCGGAUUUUUCUUUAUCAAAAAGCAGUUUUUCAUACGAAUGGUGAAUGGUAUGUACUCGUUUUUCUCGAUUCUACGUCAGUUAACUGGAGUAACUGGCGAAGAGAAGCGUCACCUUAGAAUUUCUACAAGUGUUUUCACAAGAAACCAAACUCUGUCUUAAAUUUCAGAAGACACUUUAAAUUUCGUUACAUUUCCGAAGAAAGAUUUUAAAUGAUAAUUAGGGGAAAGUGGGGCAAGACGGUGUAGGUAUUAUUUCUCUGAAAUAUGCCACCACCUAAAAAACAUUUUGUCGACUUCUUACGUG
rnacentral:lncRNA from 1 species